UCUUAUAGUUUGUGUGUAUGGAUCUAGACGUUUCACAUGUGUGCCAUGUGAUGUGCCCUUUAUAUUUCUCUCAGAGUAUCAUGUGUAUGACUGUAAUUGCAAACACUGCUUUGUCUGCUUGUACACGUUAGGAUGUUUCUUCUGACUCGUGGAUUUAAUGAUAAUGGAAUAAUGUAAGGGGACAAAAGAAGUACAUGUGACUCUGCAUCAUGUCUUGAUGAUCAAAUACACUAAUUGUUUGGGUCAUUUUUCUUUUCUUUGAUUUUUUUUUUUAAAAGGAAAUAUACAUGUACAUCUCUGUUGUUGCAUUACACCCCAUGCAACAAUUGUUUUAACUUGACUUUUAAUAAGUUAGCUUAAGUGACAAGCGUUAUCCAUGUUGUCAGAUUUUUAUGAUCUGGUGGGUAUGACUAUGAUAGACCUCUAUGUAGGCUUAUAUGUUCACACCACCCCCUUAAACCUGAAUGCUAUGUGUUGUUUUGUAUCAUAUAUUUAAUUAGUGCAAUGAAUACAUGUAUUUUUUCUCUCUUUAUUUUUUGUGAGGGGUAAGCAAUUGACCUUGCCUGUCCUCUUUCACAUUUGUAUCAAAUUUUUACUUAUGAAUAUGAAUGUAUUUGUAGAAUAUUUUCAUGACUAUAGAAGUUUUAAUUUAUACCUAUGGGGUAUUGUUCCCUCAUUAACAACAAUCUGUAUUGUGUUUUUUAUGUCUUGAUCAAAUCUGAUGAAAAUUUCAAAAAAAAAAAAGAAUCACUGAAAUAACAUUGAAAUGUGGUCUCGUUCUCUCUGUAAAAUAUUUAUUAUAUCCUGAAGUACUAAAUCGUGAGUAAAUGUGUGUAUGGGUGAGAUGUGUACAAGGUCCAAAUUGUGUUAGUGAUUUGUCAUAUGUAGUCCAUAUAUUAAAGAACGGUUAGGAAGGCAUUAUUACAGUAUGAGCGUUUGAAAAAUAUGCAUGUCUUAUUGGUCUAAUAUACGAAAAUUAAUUUUUUUUGACAAUAGUUAACUGAUGGAAAUAUUAGGCAUAAUACUGGAAGUGCUUUUCGUGUUUGGAUUCUUGGUUUUAAAAUUAAAGUGGUUGACCCCUGGGAGACAAAUAGCAUCCAACUUUGGUUGAUAGGUUGCUUGCUCCAUCAUUCAGGGGGGUGUGUAUUAACUAGUCCUUCACCUGUACUAUUGUAAUGUAUUUCUCAAUUGUCAAUAAAGCUUUUUUGUC
rnacentral:misc_RNA from 1 species